CGCGCACUCUAGUCAAUGAAGUCUCUGUGUGGUGGUGUAAACAAAUCCUCGCUGCUGAGGUGUGUGAGUGUGUGUGGGCGUGGAAGUCGUAUGCAGUGGGCGUGUCUUGAGAGGCGAGGCGGAGGAAAGUGGCACGUCUUGCCUACGGUCUUGGGGACAGUCCAGCGGUGAAGCCGAGUGCGUCCCGAUGCAGCGUGGUGGCAGCCUCCUGCUGUGCGCCGGGCUGUAAGGGCAGGAACACUGUGGACUGCAAGCUCACCCUCCACAUGUGUCAGGUUCCUGCACAGGUGAACGGAGGUGGAGUCACGGCUUUGGGGCGGCUUGCUAAAAAGGUCAGAAGAGCCACAAUGGGCGCAGGUCACAACAGGUCACCACAUGCAGGUCGGAGGUCACACAGCCAGCGUCCACAACCUGACCCCUAAGAGUGGAUACCAGCUGUCUGGAGUGGAUACAGAAGUGGAUUCCUUACAGCAUCGGAACUCCCACCUGGCGGCCGUCAAGUUUUCCCUCCUGAGCUGCCGGUGUUGGUGGUGCCCAGGCUGGAACACUCCCCGCCCAGGGCUACGCCAACCUGAGGAGGCACAGCAAGACUUCUCCUGGCUUAUAAGAGGGACCAUUAAGAAACAUGAUCCCCGCUGCUGCCACCACCACCGGGUAACAUGUGCCGGCGACGAUCUGUUCACACGUCACUUGCCGCAGCGUUGAGGCGGGAUGCAGCGUGCUCUGAGGCCACCCCGGGCAGGAGGCAAGAUGUGACCUCCUGCACCAAACCUUUGACCUCUAUUCAGGAGCAAUCUCACAACUGAUGGAAGCUGGGACGGAAAGUUGCUGAAAUGUGGUAAGCUACAAUUUCCUCUUUCAACCAUGAUUUCUAUCAGUCUACCACAAUCUACCAGGGUCUAACCACCACACAAUCAUUCGCCCAACAUCCCUCUACCAGUCUACCACAAUUCAACCAUCAGUCAUCAACCGAAAAACUCGACUUGUUCAAAACUUUUUCAACUCUGUAACCCCAAAAUGUCAACCCAAGACCUGACAUUCAACCACGAUUUCUACCACUCCACCACAAUCUACUGGGACCUAACCACCAUAUAUCUUUUCAGGGCAAUGGCUGACUGGAUGGUGCUGUCUGGUCACUCAGCUCAGCAAGGGACUGGAAGCUGGAACACUCUCUCUCUCUCUCAAAAAAAUAAUGUAAAGGACUCGUCUCAGCUGGUCUCAUCUGGUCUGCCCCAGCAUUUAGGCAGCAUCUUGAAGGCCUGACUGGUCUCCUCAGCUCAGUGGUCUCGUCUCUGUCUCCUGCCCUGCAAGAGUCUGGCAGAGUUUAGUGCCAAGAGUGUGUGUGUGUGUGUGUGUGUGUGUGUGUGUGUGUGUGUGUGUGUGUGUGUGUGUG